rnacentral:rRNA from 1 species
GUGUCAGCAGCCGCGGUAAAACCAGCACCUCAAGUGGUCAGGAUGAUUAUUGGGCCUAAAGCAUCCGUAGCCGGCUCUGUAAGUUUUCGGUUAAAUCUAUGCGCUCAACGUAUGGGCUGCCGAAAAUACUGCAGAGAUAGGGAGUGGGAGAGGUAGACGGUACUCGGUAGGAAGGGGUAAAAUCCUUUGAUCUAUCGAUGACCACCUGUGGCGAAGGCGGUCUACCAGAACACGUUCGACGGUGAGGGAUGAAAGCUGGGGGAGCAAACCGGAUUAGAUACCCGGGUAGUCCCAGCUGUAAACGAUGCAGACUCGAUGAUGCAUUGGCAUAUAGCCAGUGCAGUGUCGCAGGGAAGCCGUUAAGUCUGCCGCCUGGGAAGUACGUACGCAAGUAUGAAACUUAAAGGAAUUGGCGGGGGAGCACCACAAGGGGUGAAGCCUGCGGUUCAAUUGGAGUCAACGCCAGAAAUCUUACCCGGAGAGACAGCAGAAUGAAGGUCAAGCUGAAGACUUUACCAGACAAGCUGAGAGGUGGUGCAUGGCCGUCGCCAGCUCGUGCCGUGAGAUGUCCUGUUAAGUCAGGUAACGAGCGAGAUCCCUGCCACUAGUUGCUAUCAUUAUUCUCAGGAAUAGUGGGGCGAAUUAGUGGGACUGCCGUUGUUAAAACGGAGGAAGGAAGGGGCUACGGCAGGUCAGUAUGCCCCGAAACUCUGGGGCCACACGCGGGCUGCAAUGGUAGCGACAAUGAGUUCCAAACUCGAAAGAGUGUGGCAAUCCCUAAACGCUACCACAGUUAUGACUGAGGGCUGUAACUCGCCCUCACGAAUAUGGAAUCCCUAGUAACCGCGUGUCAUUACCGCGCGGUGAAUACGUCCCUGCUCCUUGCACACACCGCCCGUC